rnacentral:rRNA from 1 species
AGCUUGCUGGGUGGAUCAGUGGCGAACGGGUGAGUAACACGUGAGCAACCUGCCCUCCACUUCGGGAUAAGCCUUGGAAACGGGGUCUAAUACUGGAUAUGAGCUCCUGCUGCAUGGCGGGGGUUGGAAAGUUUUUCGGUGGGGGAUGGGCUCGCGGCCUAUCAGCUUGUUGGUGGGGUAAUGGCCUACCAAGGCGUCGACGGGUAGCCGGCCUGAGAGGGCGACCGGCCACACUGGGACUGAGACACGGCCCAGACUCCUACGGGAGGCAGCAGUGGGGAAUAUUGCACAAUGGGCGAAAGCCUGAUGCAGCGACGCCGCGUGAGGGAUGACGGCCUUCGGGUUGUAAACCUCUUUCAGCAGGGAAGAAGCGCAAGUGACGGUACCUGCAGAAGAAGCGCCGGCUAACUACGUGCCAGCAGCCGCGGUAAUACGUAGGGCGCAAGCGUUGUCCGGAAUUAUUGGGCGUAAAGAGCUCGUAGGCGGUUUGUCGCGUCUGGUGUGAAAACCUCAGGCUCAACCUGGGGCGUGCAUCGGGUACGGGCAGACUAGAGUGCGGUAGGGGAGACUGGAAUUCCUGGUGUAGCGGUGGAAUGCGCAGAUAUCAGGAGGAACACCGAUGGCGAAGGCAGGUCUCUGGGCCGCAACUGACGCUGAGGAGCGAAAGCAUGGGGAGCGAACAGGAUUAGAUACCCUGGUAGUCCAUGCCGUAAACGUUGGGCACUAGGUGUGGGGCUCAUUCCACGAGUUCCGUGCCGCAGCUAACGCAU